rnacentral:rRNA from 1 species
GAUGAACGCUGGCGGCGUGCCUAAUACAUGCAAGUCGAGCGAACAGACGAGAGUGCUUGCACUCUCUGACGUUAGCGGCGGACGUGUGAGUAACACGUGGGUAACCUACCUAUAAGACUGGGAUAACUUCGGGAAACCGGAGCUAAUACCGGAUAAUAUUUAGCUUCGCAUGUAGCAAUAGUGAAAGACGGUUCUGCUGUCACUUAUAGAUGGACCCGCGGUGUAUUAGCUAGUUGGUGAGGUAACGGCUCACCAAGGCAACGAUACAUAGCCGACCUGAGAGGGUGAUCGGCCACACUGGGACUGAGACACGGCCCAGACUCCUACGGGAGGCAGCAGUAGGGAAUCUUCCGCAAUGGACGAAAGUCUGACGGAGCAAUGCCGCGUGAGUGAAGAAGGUUUUCGGAUCGUAAAACUCUGUUGUAAGGGAAGAACAAGUACGUUAGUAACUGAACGUACCUUGACGGUACCUUACCAGAAAGCCACGGCUAACUACGUG